GACGAACGCUGGCGGCGUGCUUAACACAUGCAAGUCGAACGGAAAGGCCCUGCUUUUGUAGGGUGCUCGAGUGGCGAACGGGUGAGUAACACGUGAGUAACCUGCCCUUGACUUUGGGAUAACUUCAGGAAACUGGGGCUAAUACCGGAUAGGAGCUCCUGCUGCAUGGUGGGGGUUGGAAAGUUUCGGCGGUUGGGGAUGGACUCGCGGCUUAUCAGCUUGUUGGUGGGGUAGUGGCUUACCAAGGCUUUGACGGGUAGCCGGGCUGAGAGGGUGACCGGCCACAUUGGGACUGAGAUACGGCCCAGACUCCUACGGGAGGCAGCAGUGGGGAAUAUUGCACAAUGGGCGGAAGCCUGAUGCAGCAACGCCGCGUGCGGGAUGACGGCCUUCGGGUUGUAAACCGCUUUCGCCUGUGACGAAGCGUGAGUGACGGUAAUGGGUAAAGAAGCACCGGCUAACUACGUG
rnacentral:rRNA from 1 species